UCUGCCUCUGUGGGUGAUGGCAGCGUGCUGAUGUGGCCCUUUCCUGUCUGCUCAUGGUCCCAGGAACUGACCCAGAUGGCUUUGGAAUCCUGUGUCAAGACAGACUGGGCCCUUAAGAGCUCUGGAGCCACCAUUGACACACAAAGAACUUCUCAGACCUACGACUGCAAAGAGAGUUCUCUCUGGAGGAUUUUACGCUUCUUCUGGACUGCCAGCCCUCCUGAUACUAUUUUGCAGCCAAAUGUUUUCCCAGGAAAGUGCUGGGCUUUCAAAGGGCAUCAGGGCCAGGUUGUCAUCAGGUUGCCAGCACGAGUCUACCUGACUGCCAUCACAGUGCAGCACAUCACCAAAGAUGCCUCGCCAAGUGGGACCAUCUUCAGUGC